AUUAAACGCUGGCGGCAUGCUUUACACAUGCAAGUCGAACGGUAACAGGCCGCAAGGUGCUGACGAGUGGCGAACGGGUGAGUAAUGCAUCGGAACGUGCCCAGUCGUGGGGGAUAACGCAGCGAAAGCUGCGCUAAUACCGCAUACGAUCUAUGGAUAAAAGCGGGGGACCGUAAGGCCUCGCGCGAUUGGAGCGGCCGAUGUCAGAUUAGGUAGUUGGUGGGGUAAAGGCUCACCAAGCCAACGAUCUGUAGCUGGUCUGAGAGGACGACCAGCCACACUGGGACUGAGACACGGCCCAGACUCCUACGGGAGGCAGCAGUGGGGAAUUUUGGACAAUGGGCGCAAGCCUGAUCCAGCAAUGCCGCGUGCAGGAAGAAGGCCUUCGGGUUGUAAACUGCUUUUGUACGGAACGAAACGGCUCUGGUUAAUACCUGGGGCUAAUGACGGUACCGUAAGAAUAAGCACCGGCUAACUACGUGCCAGCAGCCGCCGUAAAAC
rnacentral:rRNA from 1 species